UUUUGAACAGUCAUCAGUGAGUGUAACAGCUGCGCUUUUCUCAUCAUGAAGUCAAAAUGUCUGCUGUGAAAAAGCGUGUGCACGUGUGGAUCGACGGUUUGAGCUGCAGGAAAAAGCGCAGGUGUGACCAAUAAAAGUUAAUGACGGCUCCGCUCUGCUGCCUCUCAGAUCUCAGUGCCGGCGCAUCAGAAGGUACCUUCCAGCAUCCUCAGACACAGACAGAGUGACCCCGAGCGCUGAGUCGUUGACCCUCUUGCAGACUUUCUCCAUGUCCAGGACGGACUGUAUGCAGUCGGGGCCGUUCUCCAUGCAGCAGUGAGAGGCUGGGCAGAAUCUGCAGUUGUCCAGGCGUUUGUAACCCUUGUUGUGGCCGCACUGCUCCAGAGUGACGGUGGUGGCUAACCCAGAGACUCCAACAUGGACCACUAACUGCUCGCAGAACCAAGUGGCAAAGAGAUGGCAGGAGGCUCUGGACAGCCUGGUAUUCAACAGGCACCUCACACACAUGAAGGUCUACGUCUUCACCCAGUCCCAUGCGCUCCAGUUCCUUUGAGCAUGGAGAACACAAACAUAUAUACAGACACCUUAAUUGCAG